GAAAUAGUUAAACUUAAGAAUGCUAGCUUUGGAGCUAAGGGGUUGGGGAGUUAAAAUCUCCUUUCUUUGA
rnacentral:tRNA from 1 species